ACCAAGUGCCGGGCCCCUCUGGCGAGAGUAUCAGCGGCGCUCUCGUGAUGUCGGCACUACCCG
rfam:Rhizobium sp. RT36D genome assembly, contig: Ga0136764_102